UUUCGAUCAGGAAAUCUUGACGCCGUAAAUCCCGAUAAUUUAUCGCUUCUAAACUCCGCCACUGAGUGUUGUUAAAACGAGAUUGAAAAUUUCGUAAAUAAUUUAUAAAAUAAUUGAGAAUCUCUUUGCUUUGUUCUAUCAACCAAAAAGAUGAAAUUUUAACUGGGUUGAUAAAACCUUCAGAAACUGACUGCAGGCUUUGGAGAGAAACGUAGAUAUUCAGUCUUCAGCAGAAAUUGAAUUAUUGUUGCAAUUGAUUGUGGGGUGUGCCACCAUUAAAACCAUCAAAAUUAGUAUCAGAGAAAGAGGAACAAAUAAGGAGUCGAGUCCAAGUUUUCAACUGGGUCUGCAGGAGCUUAACAAAACA